AUGAACGCUAGCGGCAGGCUUAACACAUGCAAGUCGAGGGGCAACACGGGUAGCAAUACCUGGUGGCGACCGGCGCAAGGGUGCGUAACGCGUGAGCAACAUGCCCUAUACAGGGGGAUAAUCCAGGGAAACUUGGUCUAAUAUCCCAUAGUAUUUAGAGGUGGCAUCACCACUAAAUUAAAGCUUCGGUGGUAUAGGAUUGGCUCGCGUGACAUUAGCUGGAUGGUGGGGUAACGGCUCACCAUGGCGAUGAUGUCUAGGGGUUCUGAGAGGAAGACCCCCCACACUGGGACUGAGACACGGCCCAGACUCCUACGGGAGGCAGCAGUGAGGAAUAUUGGACAAUGGAUGGAAAUCUGAUCCAGCCAUGCCGCGUGCAGGAAGACGGCCCUAUGGGUUGUAAACUGCUUUUAUAUGGGAGCAAUAAGGUUUACACGUAGACCGAUGAGAGUACCAUAUGAAUAAGCAUCGGCUAACUCCGUG
rnacentral:rRNA from 1 species